GGGGAGUUAGCUCAGUUUGGUUAGAGCGCCGGCCUGUCACGUCGGAGGUCGCGGGUUCGAGCCCCGUACUUCCCGCCA
rnacentral:tRNA from 111 species